GACGAACGCUGGCGGCGUGCUUAACACAUGCAAGUCGAACGGAAAGGCCCUGCUUUUGUGGGGUGCUCGAGUGGCGAACGGGUGAGUAACACGUGAGUAACCUGCCCUUGACUUUGGGAUAACUUCAGGAAACUGGGGCUAAUACCGGAUAGGAGCUCCUGCUGCAUGGUGGGGGUUGGAAAGUUUCGGCGGUUGGGGAUGGACUCGCGGCUUAUCAGCUUGUUGGUGGGGUAGUGGCUUACCAAGGCUUUGACGGGUAGCCGGCCUGAGAGGGUGACCGGCCACAUUGGGACAGGGAUACGGACGGGGCGGAUCCCGGAGGCAGCAGGGGGGAGUAUGGGACGAUGUGCGGAAGUGUGAGGCAGCAUCGCCGCGUGGGGGAAGAGGGUGGUCGGGUUGUAAACCGCGUUCGCCCGUGUAGCAGCGUGCGAGACGGUGAGGGGGAGAGGAGCACCGGCUAACUAC
rnacentral:rRNA from 1 species